AGUUGCGUCCGUCGCGGGUCAGGUUAUAGCCGGCUGGGCAGGCACAACGGUACCCUCCGGGGGUGUUCACACAGGUGUGGAGGCAGAGACGACCCCCCUGGCCCAUGUGGAAGAGCUCACACUCGUCAAUAUCUGGACAGACAGGUCCCCCCAUUCAUGCACGGAGAGGAGGCGCACUCGUUUAUAUCUGAAAGAAGAAGAGGAGGCACAUUCGUUUAUGUCUGAAAGAAGAGGAGGAGGAGGCACAUUCGUUUAUGUCUGAAAGAAGAGGAGGAGGCACAUUCGUUUAUGUCUGAAAGAAGAAAGGGAACACAGUUCAGGCAGAAAGGGAUCCGUGGUGGACGCCAAACAACUGGAUCUGCUGUGUCGGACAGGCUGUUGUCCGGACCAGGUCAGGGUUUCUUUACACUGACGUGUCUCAGAGCCUACCAGCUCAUAGCCUGGGUCACACAGGAAGUGAACCUCAUGACCCGGAAGCAUCAUUUUGCCCAUCUUCUUGCCG